rnacentral:ncRNA from 1 species
CAAUAGAAGUUGCAUAUGUUGCUACAGAUGAAAAAUCAAGGAGACACUAAUAGACGAUUCGAUCGAUUUAGAACAUAAGUAAUCAAUAAUAAGAAGUGGGGAAUCUUGGACAAUGGGCGAAAGCCCGAUCCAGCAAUAUCGCGUGAGUGAAGAAGGGCAAUGCCGCUUGUAAAGCUCUUUCAUCGAGUGCGCGAUCAUGACAGAAACAAGGAAAAAGCCCCGGCUAACUCCAUGCCAGCAGCCGCGGUAAGAUGGGGGGGCAAUUGUUCUUCGGAAUGACUGGGCGUAAAAGGCACGUAGGCGGUGAAUCGGGUUGAAAGUGAAAACCUUCAAAAACUGGCGGAAUGCUCUCGAAACCAAUUCACUUGAGUGAGACAGAGGAGAGUGAAAUUUUGUGUGUAGGAGUGAAAUUCGGAGAUCUACGAAGGAACUCCAAAAGCGAAGGCAGCUAUCUGGGUCCCUACCGGUAUGACAAUGAAGAGUGUUGUGUACGACCAUAAUUUGUUAUAUCAUAAUUU